ACCCACCCACCAGACCGAGAAGGGGCGUGGCCACGCUCUCACACACAUCUGCAGAGAGAGUGCUGCAGUGCGAGCGCAGCAGGGGGGGUCGGACUCCGAAAUUGAUCAGCAAAAACACACACAGACACACACAGAAAACACACUAACACACACACUCAUUGACAGACGUAGGAACGUGACGAACUGCGGUGUCGUGUCGCUACAGCCUCCUAUGUGGAGCUCCGCAGCGGUACCGCGGCGACGCAGGCCGACAUGGAAGAGUAUCUGCGGAGGGUCGACUGCAGGCGACGGGCCCUGGUGUCCGAGAAGUCCCUCCACGCCGUGUUAGGUGGACCAGAAGCAGAUGUUGACACUGUGGCCGCCACGCUGUGCUUGGCGCUGCACCUCAGCCAGAGGGAGCCCUCAGGUGGGGUGUGUGUGCCGCUGCUGUGCGGCCGGCGUGGCGAUGCUGCGUUGCCCGGGGAGACGACGAGCUAUCUGCGGAGGGUCAACGUGUGCGAGAGCCUCUUAUUGUGGCGGGAUGACGUGGACCUGCUCAGGAUUCAUCAGGCUGGAAAACUCUCGCUCACGCUGCUGAGGGACGGACUGCUGGACAGCGCCGAGCUGCGCAUUUUUGAGUCCAGCGUCCUUCGAGUGGUCCAUCCUGACGGCGGGGAUGACGGGCCGGCGUCGGCGGUGAUGACGGUCGCCAGAGAGCUUCUUCAAGAAGCACCGGAGCACGUCGGAGCGGCGCUGAGGGAGAGCCUCGGAGAAGCGUUGCGUCUCCAAAGUGACGCCUUCAGGCUCAAACACGGCCGCCAGUCCACACAACUGGAGGAGCUGAUGGGACGUUUUCAACCGUGGAGCGAUGUCCCUCCCAGUCAGAGCAUGAGGGCGGCGCUACCAGACGUGGAGCAUUUGCUGUCCAAGGAGCUCAGGGAGUUUUCAGAUGGAGAGAUGACCAUAGCGCUCACCUCGGUGGCUGUCGACGAGGAGCGCUGGCGUGAUUAUGAAGAGACGUUGAAGUCGUUCUGUAAUCGACACGGCUACGACGGAAUGCUGUUUCUCUUGUCUGUCAACGACUCGCUUCAUCCUCCUCGCCAACAGGUGGCAGUCUACUCCAGCAACACGGGCCUCCUCAACCAGAUCUGCUGCGAGUUGGAGACAACGUCUAGCUGGUUUCUCUCAGGUGAAUUAGAGGCCAGGGGGUGUUACCAGGUCUAUCACACCCCCCUAAACACCUCUACUUUGAGUACCUCUCUGCUGGAAGAGGAGGUGCGCUGUGUCCUCAAGGAGCUGGUGGAUCGGCGGAGCUCUGUGCUGGCCUGUCACCCGAGCAGCAGGACGUCCUCCACUGAGGGUGUGGCCGGCAGCGUGGAAUUCUCCCAAGGAUCGUCAGGCAUCAAUGACAUGGACGGCUCUGACACGGAGAGAGGUGAAGGAGGUAGUGGAGCUGUGGUAGCAAUAGAGAGCAGGGGGGUGGCAGAGGGUGAGGAGGACUCGGGAGGAGUCGGCGCAAGUGGGGAGCUUCUGAGCCCCGACAGUGGUAUGAACACCAUCCGCAGCAGCCGUUCCUCAAAGGAGAGUUCGGUGUUCCUCAGUGAUGACAGCCCAGUUGGCGAAAUUCUUGGCGCAGGUCCAGGGGGUCUCCUGCUGAGGAACCCCUCUCCUUUGGGCUUAUGCUCUCUCUCCCCUCCUGUGCCUCCUGAGAGAAGAAGGCAGCGCUCCAGCAAAAAGAGGAGUGACCAUUUUGACCAGUUUAGUUUUGAUCCACUUCAUCCACAUCCCAUCCUUCCAAAUCCUGGGGGGAAAUUAGAUGAUGACAGGCAAACCGCAGGAAGCUCAAGCCUGUCCGAAUACGAAGAACUAAACAUGCUGGAUUUCUCUGCGCACAGUUCUUUAGGCGGUCUUGAAAGUAGGCAGUCUUCAACUGAUCCUGAAGGUCAAAUCCAUGGCAUCGAGGUGAUUGACACCCUUGUUCCUCCGACUCCGGUCAACAGUCUGGUAGGGAGUCACCCAUCCAGCAGUUGCGGUGUCAGGUUUUUCCCUGAGGAUGUGGUGGAGAGGAUCAGUGGCUUUCAGCACAAAGACAGCGUCUCUUCGUCCUUGUCUGAAACCUGGGAGGAACUUGGCUUUGACCCAUCUUCGAAUGACACCUGGAAUAGAACCAGAGAGAGCCCACUGACCCUGGAGGAGGUAAGGUGCAAAGAUUCAGAAGGUGGCAUGACAGGAAGGCCAAGUAGGGAAGAGAGGUCACAGAGGGACUUGAGCCUUGAGCCACAACUUAGUCUGAUCACUGAGCAGACAGACUCAAGAGACAACUGGAGCCCAGAUACUGUACUGAGAGAUCAGUGGAACGCAGUGACUGUGGCUGAUCUGCAGCUGACCCCACCAGAGGAGGAAGUAGUUCGACGAGACAAAGCAGGUAUCUUUGGAGUAAAAGAAAUGACUUCACAGAAGAAGAAAACCAUCCUAAACACGUUAACACCUGACACCUCCAAGGAGGACGAUGAAGAGGCACAGGGGAAAAUAGGCAGCAGAUCUACACUGGACUUUUGGACCUACUCGGCACAGAAGGGCUUUCUCAAAUCUGACAGCGGAACCACAACAUCUUAUCCUGAAUCACUAGAUAUGUGGAAUAUGACAAUUCGGGAUGACAGUUUCUCGCCUCUCACCACCCCUGACAAUUUGUCUGCAGACUCUGGGUCUUUUUGCGGGGCAAGUACUAACGUGGGGGCUGGUGCUUCUGUACAAAGUCCACAGGGAUCAUCUUAUGGUAGCAUGGCAAUGUGGAACACUACCAUACAGGAGGACAGCUCUUCAUCAGCAAGCCCAGAAGGACCCGGAAAUGGCCACAGCAGUCACACUGGUUUAUUGGAUGGAUGUCAUACUCCUAAGUCACGGGGAGGAGAAGCGGCAGGAAAGGAUAGCAAGUGGAGCGGUCAAAACCAGAAUGUCCAAAUAGUCAUAGAGGGGGAAGAAGAUAGAAUAUCACAUAGUUGUGACCCUGUUUCGGUUCCUCACAUGGUCAUCUCCACCUCAGACUAUGAUAAUGUGAGAUCUUUGUCCUCCAUUGAAGUCCACACUAGUCAUGCUGUGGAUAUGAUCCACCUUGGAGAGCAGUCCAGCCCAUUUGUUGCUGUGACCAAACCUACUGAUGACAACACAAGACAGACCGAAUCUGAUCUGGGUGUUUCCGACAAAGUAUUUACUUUUGAAGGACAUAGUGAGUUGAGUAACGUAACCAAGAGCUGCAGUAAUUCAGAAAAAAAUUACUCCAUAGACCAACCAAGUCCUAGUUCUCCAUUUAUUCUAGUUGACAACUCUCUGGCUGAUGAUUCUUUAUCCCUAAGCCCAGGUGGUUUAAGUCUUGGACUGGCACCACAAUCGAACUGUCAACCAGGCAGUGUUACCCACAUCAACAACCAAAGUCAAGAAGGUUCAGUGGAGGGUCCCACAAGAGCUACCGUGUUACCGAGCCCUGGUGGGGAGAGAGAGACCAUCAAGUCAAGCCCAGACAGCCUUCACCCAGGCAGUCAAGACGAACUCCGCUCCAAUUCCGAUGGGGAUUCUUCAUCUGGUCUGGAAAUGGAAUACAUUAUUCUUCCUGGCACUGUAAAGGAGGCCGAGAGGGAAAGAGAACACAGACCUAGAGGACCAAGGAAGCCCAUGGAGACAUUCAGCAUGCUGUCUUAUGCUGUUUCAGUGCUAAAUGCUCAAACCACAGAGAAAACCAGGCAACUCCAAGUAAUACCACCGUUCCAAACAGAACGCGUAGCUCAACACAACACUGAGUCAUCCAUAUCUUCUGAGACGUUCAACAAAAGCACUCCUACUCAAGCUAAAACUGAAGCUUCCUGCCAGUCCGAAUCAAGGCAAGAAGUUCAAGAAGGGAACUUCGAGGACAAACAGAGUAGCGUGGCCAGAAGCAUGUCGCCCUCAAUGAGACAUCCAUCUGAUCACUUCCUAAAAACAAGAGAGGAGGUUUACGUCCAUUCCCAAAUCUCCAUGGAAGACUCGGAUUCAGACAGUGGGCGGUCACCGGCCGCCACUACUCCACCACCCCAUCCCAUGUCGUCAGGCAAUUUCCAGGGCUGGGGGGCUCCUUCACCAAGGCAUGACAGCCCUCAGUCAUCAUGUGACUCCCCGUCACUCGGUAACAGCUCCGCAUCCCGCCCCAGUUCUUCGGUUACCACUCCUGUGAGCGAGUCGGGAGGCCCAGGUACCAAAACUCUUGGAUUACCUUUCUCUGGAGAUUUAAUGGAGGAGAACGAUGAGGAAGAAGCGGUUACAGAGCAGCCAAAGCCGAGGCUAAGCUCCCAUGAUCUGUUGAGUUUCACAGAGGAACUUGUUGAAGGUUGUCAACUCCAGCCAACCAGUGGAAUGUUUCAAGAGGACAUGUUUGAUUAUUAUGGACAUACUGGUAGGACUGAUGGUAGUAGCUCACUUGGACAUCACAUUGGAGCUCACCAAAACUAUUCUCCACAUUUAGGGACUGAACAGGAGGAAGGUGGUGACCUCAGACGUGGUGCCUCCGACGUUUACGCAGAGUUUACAACGGACGCCCCCGCGCCGACAGAGCGUCCCGAGAGCUACUCUGGACCUAGUCAGGGCGAACACAAGCACCCUGAAAGGCAGGAUCACGAUCAGUUUGUGCCUGAGGGAUACGCCCACUUCUUGAUGUCACGUUCCCAUCACGAGGACGGAGCAGCAGCAGCAGCGAUGAUGACGAUGGGUAGGACCUCCAGUGAGGAAGUGGAGGACAGUGAGAACAAGGAAGACCCUCCGUCCUCUGCAGAUGUGUCGGGUGGCUCCAACCAGAGGAGGAAGCUGGCCGCUCCGCCAAUGAACGUGUCGCUGGAGCACAGCGAAGGCUCUCAGCUCUCGGAAGACGCCUUGGACACGGAAGGAGAGGACGACGCUCUGGACACGGGCGACGACCUGGAUGUCAACAUAGAGGAGCUGGACACGUCCGAUGAGGAAAUAAACGCACACGGGCACUCUGAGAGGUCGGACGUGGCAGCGGGAGCAGCGUACGGUGAGGAGGAUGACGGUGGACUGUGGCGGAGCGUGGUGAUUGGCGAGCAGGAACAUCGCAUUGACAUGAAGUGCAUUGAGGCCUACAAGAGAGUCAUUUCUCAUGGAGGUUAUUACGCCGAACAGAACGCCAUCAUCGUGUUUGCCGCCUGCUUCCUGCCAGACAGUGACUGUGACAACUACCACUAUGUCAUGGAGAACUUGUUUUUGUAUGUAAUAAGCACUUUGGAGCUCAUGGUAGCAGAAGACUACAUGAUCGUCUACCUGAACGGUGCCACACCUCGCAGGAGGAUGCCCGGCUUCACCUGGAUGAAGAAAUGCUACCAAAUGAUUGACCGCAGACUGAAGAAGAACUUGAAGAUGUUCAUCAUUGUUCAUCCUUCCUGGUUCAUAAGAACAUUGCUGGGCAUCACCAGACCCUUCAUCAGCUCAAAGUUCAGCAGUAAGAUCAAGUAUGUGAGUAGUCUGCAGGAACUGGGCGACAUCAUCCCCAUGGAGUACGUACACAUUCCACCCAGCAUCAUCAAGUAUGACCAGGAGAGGGCUACAAAUACAUUUGCAUGCAUGAGCUAAUAUAUGGCUGACAAUGCAUUGAAGGUUUUAGAGGACCUGCCACUAACAUUCACAGCCCGCAGGAAUGUGAUGCUGCAUUGGCUGGACACAGAUUUAAAGGACACGGCAGGAAAGUCCGACAGGAAGAGAAGUCUGGCCAUUUGACAAAUGGACCAACGGCUGCUUGCCGUCUUGUCUUGCCUCCUUGCCGUGACGUCGCUUUCCCGGACACGGAACACGAGCGUGCCUCUUAGCAUGAACGGACUACUGGCAGCAGUAAAAAAAAAUAAUAAUAAUAAUUAAAAAAAAUUGGUCCCACAUUUACACGCACAGUGUCAAAAGGGAAAGGUGCUCAUUGGAAUCCAUUUAUGAAUAUUUACCAAGCGGCUUUGUUGUUGACUAAUGCUGAUAAUUAUCAAUCUCACGUGCACUAUUAACAUGGAGUACACACACACAUACAGUAAAGGACUCUACUGUACACACAUGAGUGACAGAUACUGCUGCUGCUGCCAAUCAACACUUUAUCUUUCUAUCACUGUGAGGUCAUUAAGUUAGCAACAUAGCCUUUGAAUGUCUCUGCAGUCACUUGUGCAUGCUUUGUGAGUGUGUGUGUGUGAGAGAAAUAUUGGAGGAAAGUAUGCACUUUUGUUAUUCCAUUGACAUAAGUUGUCGAAUGAAUAUAAACAUGUCAGUUGUCAUGUAAGAAUGCAGUUGUUUUCAAUUCUUUUCUGGGAACAUA